ACACUACGCUAAACGAGACCUCUGGUUAUUAAAAGAACAUUUUACUACUGAGAAUAAUUCAGUUCGCGUGACUAGACGGAAUCACUGUUUUGCCAGCCAUUCGACAGUGGAAUUCUAAUUCAAGUUAUUAAGUAGAUUUUCGUUCUAUGUAGGAAUCUCCUGUUCAUGGCCACAGUUAUACGUCUAAGUGACUGAUUCUGGCGACAAGAGAAGCUUUAACGUUUCAGUUGUAUAAACUCCUUGGUGACUGACUGACCCUGGCUCGUUUUCAAGUGAGUUAAAAACAAACUGCAGGACCAUAGAACUUCUCCCCAAGAAUAAAAACAGCUGCACGACUACGAAACUUCUUUGAAAGGUAAGAACUCUGCCAACAUUUCUACAACUAAAAACAAUUCAAGGGAAGUUUUUAAUCUGUUGCUAGUGUGGACUAAAGGUAGUAGGCAUUACGUACACCUGUGUUGGAGAGACACGAGAGAUGUCUUCCUGCCGAGGACGUAUUUUUUGUCUUUCCUCGUGUUUCCACGUACCCAUUGUAUGAAGAUUUCUAAGUUCUAAAAUUUGAUUUAACUUAGAGGGUGUCAGCAAAUUGAUCCAAUUCCUAACCGGCCGCAUGCAUUUCCAAUCAAGGUCGUCCGAUCAAGGUCGGUAGUUUGGGGUGGCGUGACAAUUUGUAAAAUUAAACCUUCGAUUCCGCUUGAGUGCUUCUGAUCUCGUGAUCGUUGCAGACUUUGAUCUGUUCAGACAACACCCUGUCUGCUGAAGGAACGGUUUUCUAUUUUAUCGGUGGAUAAAAUGAACUGAUUCUAGAAGGGACUUCAGGAAUCUCCUGUUCAUGGCCACAGUUGUACGUGGAAGAGACUGAUUGUGGCCACAAGAGAAGCUUUAACUUUUCAGUUGUAUCAACUCCUUGGUGACUGACUGACCCUGGCUCGUUUUCAAGUGCAGAACCAUAGAACUUCUCUGCAAGAAUAAAAACAGCUGCACGACUACAGAACUUCUCUGCAAGGAAUCUCCUGUUCAUGGCCACAGUUAUACGUCGAAGUGACUGAUUCUAGCGACAAGAGAAGCUUUAACUUUUCAGGUGUCUAUAUCUGGAGUUAUUUUGCUCACAGAAGCCAACAUAUCAAGACUUGACUUGAGUUGUAUAAACCCUUUGGUGACUGACUGACACUGGCUCGUUUUCAAGUGCAUAGAAACUUUUCUGCACAAGUGGAACAGACUAAGUUGAAGUGAACUCUUUGAAGUUGACACGAGAAGAAGGACAGUAUUUCUUUAAAGAUGAUGCAGAAAUAACUUUCAGUAAUUCAUUCAACGACUUCAUUUAUUUGGCAUUUCUGACCAAUUGCAUGCCCCACGGAGCUGUAGACAUGGAUGAAAUUUCUCCUCUCCAGUCCUCACCGGAAGCUGUACCUGGAACAUCAAGAGAUGGCACACCCACCGAUGAUGAAUUAGAAGAACUGGGCAAUGAAAUUGUAGAAUGGAAAAGGCUUGGGCGUCGCCUUAAGGUCAGUGAGCCAAAGCUUGCAGAAAUAUCUCAAGCUCCUGACCAACUGUCUGAAAAGACAUACUACAUGUUGAAGCACUGGAAACAAGUUAAUGGUCAUUCAGCAACCUACAAGACUUUGUGCAAAGCAUUAAAACACAAAUUUGUACAGCGCCAAGACUUGGCAGACCGGUUUUGUUACAUUAAUGAACCUUUUACCAUUCAGCAGCCCGCUGGUGCAGUACCAGCAGGGAGAGUGACAGGAGAAGUCUCUGGUGCUACUGCAAGUACUCUGAA
rnacentral:misc_RNA from 1 species